rnacentral:rRNA from 1 species
AUUGAACGCUGGCGGCAGGCCUAAUACAUGCAAGUCGAACGGUAACAUAAGAAAAGCUUGCUUUUCUUGAUGACGAGUGGCGGACGGGCGAGUAAUAUUUGGGAAACUACCUGAUAGAGGGGGACAACAGUUGGAAACGACUGCUAAUACCGCAUACAGCCUCAGGGUGAAAGAAGCGAUUCGCUAUCAGAUGUGCCCAAACGGGGUUAGCUAGUAGGUGAGGUAAAGGCUCACCUAGGCGACGAUCUCUAGCUGGUCUGAGAGGAUGAUCAGCCACAUUGGGACUGAGACACGGCCCAGACUCCUACGGGAGGCAGCAGUAGGGAAUAUUGCACAAUGGAGGAAACUCUGAUGCAGCCAUGCCGCGUGUGUGAAGAAGGCCUUCGGGUUGUAAAGCACUUUCGGAGGGGAGGAAGAAAAUGACGUUACCCUCAGAAGAAGCACCGGCUAACUCCGUGCCAGCAGCCGCCGUAA